AUGAAAGGAAAAUCCUGCCGAGGCAAUCGUAUUUGUUUUGGUAGAUAUGCUCUUCAAGCACUUGAACCCGCUUGGAUCACGGCGAGACAGAUAGAAGCAGGACGAAGAGCAAUAACACGAUAUGCACGUCGUGGUGGAAAAAUAUGGGUACGUAUAUUUCCCGACAAACCGGUUACACUAAGACCCACGGAAACACGUAUGGGCUCGGGAAAGGGGUCCCCCGAAUAUUGGGUAUCCGUUGUUAAACCUGGUCGUAUACUUUAUGAACUGGGGGGAGUAUCUGAAACUGUAGCUAGAGCAGCUAUCUCCAUAGCUGCCAGUAAAAUGCCCAUACGAAGUCAAUUUAUUCGAUUAGAGAUAUAG
rnacentral:rRNA from 1 species